GGUGAACGCUGGCGGUAGGCCUAACACAUGCAAGUCGAACGGAAGCACAGUAAGAGCUUGCUCUUACGGGUGGCGAGUGGCGGACGGGUGAGGAAUACAUCGGAAUCUAUUUUUUCGUGGGGGAUAACGUCGGGAAACUUACGCUAAUACCGCAUACGACCUACGGGUGCAAGCAGGGGAUCUUCGGACCUUGCGCGAUUGAUUGAGCCGAUGUCGGAUUAGCUCGUUGGCGGGGUAAAGGCCCAACACGGCGAGGAUCCGUAGCUGGUCUGAGAGGAUGGUCAGCCACACUGGAACUGUGACACGCUCCAGACUGCUACGGGAGGCACCAGUGGGGAAUAGGGGACAAUGGGCGCAAGCCUGAUCCAGCCAGACCGCGUGGGUGAAGAAGGCCUUCGGGUUGUAAAGCCCUUUUGUUGGGAAAGAAAAGCAGCAGGUUAAUACCCCGCUGUUCUGACGGUACCCAAAGAAUAAGCACCGGCUAACUUCGUG
rnacentral:rRNA from 1 species